UACGUAGGGGGCAAGCGUUGUCUGGAAUCAUUGGGCGUAAAGAGCGUGUAGGCGGCCCGGUAAGUCCGCUGUGAAAGUCGAGGGCUCAACCCUCGAAUGCCGGCGGAUACUGUCGGGCUAGAGUCCGGAAGAGGCGAGUGGAAUUCCUGGUGUAGCGGUGAAAUGCGCAGAUAUCAGGAGGAACACCUACGGCGAAGGCAGCUCGCUGGGACGGUACUGACGCUGAGACGCGAAAGCGUGGGGAGCAAACAGG
rnacentral:rRNA from 1 species